UUCUGGCUCAGGAUGAACGCUGGCGGCGUGCCUAACACAUGCAAGUCGAACGAAGCAUAUCGGACGGAGAUUCGUCGAAGCCUGGUAUGACUUAGUGGCGGACGGGUGAGUAAUGUAUGAGCAACCUGCCUUUCAGAGGGGGACAACAGUUGGAAACGACUGCUAAUACCGCAUAACAUACGAGGAGGACAUCCACUUCGUAUCAAAGGAGCAAUCCGCUGAAAGAUGGGCUCAUAUCUGAUUAGCUUGUUGGCGGGGUAACGGCCCACCAAGGCGACGAUCAGUAGCCGGACUGAGAGGUUGAACGGCCACAUUGGGACUGAGAUACGGCCCAGACUCCUACGGGAGGCAGCAGUGGGGAAUAUUGGGCAAUGGGCGAAAGCCUCGACCCAGCAACGCCGCGUGAAGGAAGAAGGUCUUCGGAUUGUAAACUUCUUUUAUGAGGGACGAAGGACGUGACGGUACCUCAUGAAUAAGCCACGGCUAACUACGUGCCAGCCGCAGC
rnacentral:rRNA from 1 species